CGCCGUGGCACCCCUGUGGUGGAGGGAUAUGUGGUUAUUUGACUAUCCAACCUUGUCUAUGCUAAGCAGAGUUGAGCCUGAUUAGUACUUGGAUGGGAGACAGAUGGGAAUACCAGGUGCCACAGUGG
rnacentral:rRNA from 1 species